GAAUGCUGACAUAAGUAACGAUAAAGCGGGUGAAAAGCCCGCUCGCCGGAAGACCAAGGGUUCCUGUCCAACGUUAAUCGGGGCAGGGUGAGUCGACCCCUAAGGCGAGGCCGAAAGGCGUAGUCGAUGGGAAACGGGUUAAUAUUCCCGUACUUGGUGUUACUGCGAAGGGGGGACGGAGAAGGCUAUGUUGGCCGGGCGACGGUUGUCCCGGUUUAAGCGUGUAGGUGUGUGUUCCAGGUAAAUCCGGUUCACUUUAACACUGAGGCGUGACGACGAGGCACUACGGUGCUGAAGCAACAAAUGCCCUGCUUCCAGGAAAAGCCUCUAAGCAUCAGGUAACAUCAAAUCGUACCCCAAACCGACACAGGUGGUCAGGUAGAGAAUACCAAGGCGCUUGAGAGAACUCGGGUGAAGGAACUAGGCAAAAUGGUGCCGUAACUUCGGGAGAAGGCACGCUGACACGUAGGUGAAGUGAUUUACUCAUGGAGCUGAAGUCAGUCGAAGAUACCAGCUGGCUGCAACUGUUUAUUAAAAACACAGCACUGUGCAAACACGAAAGUGGACGUAUACGGUGUGACGCCUGCCCGGUGCCGGAAGGUUAAUUG
rnacentral:rRNA from 1 species